rnacentral:rRNA from 1 species
UACGUAGGUGGCAAGCGUUGUCCGGAUUUACUGGGCGUAAAGGAUGCGUAGGCGGACAUUUAAGUCAGAUGUGAAAUACCCGAGCUUAACUUGGGUGCUGCAUUUGAAACUGGGUGUCUAGAGUGCAGGAGAGGUAAGUGGAAUUCCUAGUGUAGCGGUGAAAUGCGUAGAGAUUAGGAAGAACACCAGUGGCGAAGGCGACUUACUGGACUGUAACUGACGCUGAGGCAUUUAAGCGUGGGGAGCAAACAGG